CCAAUGACAUCACUUCACGCUACACCGACGAGCCUCACGCUUCGCCACUAUUCGAACCGCACGAAGCUAACCUGCGCAUCUACGUUAUCACCACCUCCGACAUGGAAACAGAGCCGGCGAGUUAUCUCCGUCUCCUUCUUCCUCUCUCGUCUCCUCCUCCUCCCCACUAACAACGAUGCCAUGGCUGGUACCUUAAUUGAUAAAUAUGUCAAGAGG